GGCUACAUGGCAGAAUGGUUAAAACCUUUGGUUAAUGUCCUGCAAAUGGCUCUUCCCUUUAUCCGAAGUAUGUAGGUUCGAAUCCUACUGUAGCCA